rnacentral:lncRNA from 1 species
GGAUGUACUGUUUAUGGGCUUGCCAUCGAGGACAUUAACUAUGUCUUGAGGGAGUGUCAUCAGGUAAAGGCUCUCUGCCAAAAGAUUAUUCCUCCAAUGGUCUCCCAUACUAUUUUUAGCAUUCCUUUUCAUGAUUGGGUCUACACUAACUUGCAGAAUCAACAUAGUUAGUGCUCCUCCUUUCAGGACUAGAAGAUGGUGUAUGGUAUUACAUGCUGGUUAUUAUGGAAGUAACAGAAUGCUUUUGUCUUCG